rnacentral:rRNA from 1 species
AGUGAACGCUGGCGGUAGGCCUAACACAUGCAAGUCGAACGGCAGCACAGUAAGAGCUUGCUCUUACGGGUGGCGAGUGGCGGACGGGUGAGGAAUACAUCGGAAUCUACUUUUUCGUGGGGGAUAACGUAGGGAAACUUACGCUAAUACCGCAUACGACCUACGGGUGAAAGCAGGGGAUCUUCGGACCUUGCGCGAUUGAAUGAGCCGAUGUCGGAUUAGCUAGUUGGCGGGGUAAAGGCCCACCAAGGCGACGAUCCGUAGCUGGUCUGAGAGGAUGAUCAGCCACACUGGAACUGAGACACGGUCCAGACACCUACGGGAGGCAGCAGUAGGGAAUAUUGGACAAUGGGCGCAAGCCUGAUCCAGCCAUACCGCGUGGGUGAAGAAGGCCUUCGGGUUGUAAAGCCCUUCUGUUGGGAAAGAAAAGCAGCAGGUUAAUACCCCGCUGUUCUGACGGUACCCAAAGAAUAAGCACCGGCUAACUUCGUG